CACAAAGUUGCUCGGUUUUAUUGAACAUUUGCACAAAUGCUCUGCCUUUGAUCGUCAUAUUUUGUUCUGUUUCCAUCGUGCUGUAGUACCUCAGUCUGCUGACAGGGGGCGGUGUGGCAGAGGCCGCUGCUCCAUUAACAUGGCGGUGUGAUGACGCUGUAUUCUCUGCUUCAACGCUUCAACUUCACGCUAAAAAUCCACACUCAGGAGUUUUCUUAGGACGUCAUCGGUUCGCUGCCCGCUUUAACUACGUCCCUAACGCCCGGUUAUUAUAUCUGUGUCCUGGUAAAGUUGAAUCCCGAGCUCCGGGUUCGAACCCGAGCUCUGCGGAUCACAGUGUGUUCGGUCCGCGGUCAAUCCGCCUCCGCCACCGGGAAGAGAAGCAUGCUUUGACCCAGGCAGUAAAGUGUGAAUAAGUGUGUCUGCUCCACACCAUGAGGAAACCCAAGGAUCUGAUGGAGUCUGAAAGAGAGGGUCAGGAGUUAACUCCCAGCUCCAGAGGUCGACAGCGCAGGAAAAACACCAAAUAUUUGGACUAUGAGACGAGCAACGACGCUCAGAGACGCCCCGACACGGAGAAGGAGGUGAAGGAGGUGAAGGAGGAGGUAGACCCUGCUGCUCCUCCUCCUCCUCGGAGAGGACGAGGACGUCCUAGAUCCACGCCUCUGCAGUCUGAAGGUCCCACGCCAAAGAAAGCAGCACAAGGCAGGAAAACAGGCGUGGGAAAAACUCCUACGACACCUGAAGACGUGACGCCGAGGCCGAAGAGGAAGUUUGUGAAGAAGCAGAAGGUGAACGUGAGUCCUGAAGUUCCUUCUAAAUCAGAAGAUAGUGAACACCAUCAGGAGGAAGAGGAGCCUGGAGGCCGACGCAGGAGGGGCGCCGCCAAGAAGGCGCUGAAGUACCUCCACCGAUUGGCUAACAACGUGUUGGAGGAGAGCUCAAAUCAGAGUGACAGCGACGCCCCUUUAAGGACGAACCACGCCCGGCGCUCAGCUGGUCUCUGUGGCAGGAAAAGGAAACGUUUGGACAGCAGCGACUCCGCAGUCGACCACGACUUUGUUCCUGAUGGAGCUGAGGAAGACGAGGAGAACGAAGAAGAUGAAGAGGAAGAUGAAGGAGAAGAAGAAGGGAUGGAGGAAGACGACGAGGAGGAAGAGGAGGAGUUUUCCAAAGGACUAAAAACACGGAACUUGAACUACAAGUCAACAAACGGACUGACUCACAAAAGCCUGAAACUGGUCCUGGACUCAGCCAGACUUACUCAGAGGCUGUGA
rnacentral:lncRNA from 1 species